rnacentral:rRNA from 1 species
GACGAACGCUGGCGGCGUGCUUAAUACAUGCAAGUCAACUGAACUUGAGGUAGCAAUAUCACAAGAGAGGUGGCGCACGGGUGAGUAACACGUAGGUAAUCUGCCUUUAGGUCUGACAUAAUUCCGCGAAAGCGGGACUAAUAUCAGAUGAUGCAGCGGCUCGACAUCGAGACAGUUGUUAAACCUUCGGGGCCUAAAGAUGAGCCUGCGUCUGAUUAGGUAGUUGGCGGAGUAAAAGCCCACCAAGCCUGCGAUCAGUAGCUGGUCUGAGAGGAUGAUCAGCCACACUGGAACUGAGACACGGUCCAGACUCCUACGGGAGGCAGCAGUAAGGAAUAUUGCUCAAUGGCCGAAAGGCUGAAGCAGCAACGCCGCGUGGAGGAUGAAAUACUUUUGUAUGU